rnacentral:rRNA from 1 species
UAAGGAAUAUUGGUCAAUGGACGCAAGUCUGAACCAGCCAUGCCGCGUGGAGGAUGAAGGUCCUCUGGAUUGUAAACUUCUUUUAUCUGGGAAGAAACCCAUAUUUUCUAGUGUGGUUGACGGUACCAGAUGAAUAAGCACCGGCUAACUCCGUGCCAGCAGCCGCGGUAAUACGGAGGGUGCAAGCGUUAUCCGGAUUCACUGGGUUUAAAGGGUGCGUAGGCGGGUUGGUAAGUCCGUGGUGAAAUCCCCAAGCUUAACUUGGGAACUGCCGUGGAUACUAUCAAUCUUGAAUAUCGUGGAGGUAAGCGGAAUAUGUCAUGUAGCGGUGAAAUGCUUAGAUAUGACAUAGAACACCAAUUGCGUAGGCAGCUUACUACACGAUCAUUGACGCUGAGGCACGAAAGCGUGGGGAGCAAACAG